rnacentral:rRNA from 1 species
AGAGUUUGAUCAUGGCUCAGAAUGAACGUUGGCGGCGUGCCUAACACAUGCAAGUCGAGCGUGAAAGUCUUUCGGGAUGAGUAAAGCGGCGAACGGGUGAGUAACGCGUGAGAAUCUACCUUUUAGUGAAGAAUACCUUUGGGAAACUAAAGUUAAUGCUGCAUACGUCUCGUAAGAGAGAAAGAUGGCCUCUUUGCUGUCGCUAAAAGAUGAGCUUGCGUUCUAUUAGUUAGUUGGUGGGGUAAAGGCCUACCAAGACUAUGAUGGAUAACCGGCCUGAGAGGGUGUACGGUCACAUUGGAACUUAGACACGGUCCAAACUCCUACGGGAGGCAGCAGUGAGGAAUAUUGCACAAUGGGCGAAAGCCUGAUGCAGCGACGCCGCGUGGAGGAUGACGGUCUUCGGAUUGUAAACUCCUGUUAAGUGGGAAAAAAGAACCGUUGUUAAUAGCAGCGGGAGAUGAUGGUACCACUAGAGAAG